rnacentral:tRNA from 1 species
AGAAGCGUGGCUCAGUGGAAAGAGCCCUGGCUUUGGAGUCAGAGGUCAUGGGUUCGAAUCCCAGCUCUGCCA